GACGCAGCUAACGCAUUAAGUUCCCCGCCUGGGGAGUACGGCCGCAAGGCUAAAACUCAAAGGAAUGACGGGGACCCGCACAAGCGGCGGAGCAUGCGGAUUAAUUCGAUGCAACGCGAAGAACCUUACCAAGGCUUGACAUAUACGAGAACGGGCCAGAAAUGGUCAACUCUUUGACACUCGUAAACAGGUGGUGCAUGGUUGUCGUCAGCUCGUGUCGUGAGAUGUUGGGUUAAGUCCCGCAACGAGCGCAACCCUCGUUCUAUGUUGCCAGCACGUAAUGGUGGGAACUCAUGGGAUACUGCCGGGGUCAACUCGGAGGAAGGUGGGGAGGACGUCAAAUCAUCAUGCCCCUUAUGUAUUGGGCUUCACGCCUGCUACAAUGGCCGGUACAAAGGGCUGCAAUACCGCAAGGUGGAGCGAAUCCCAAAAAGCCGGUCCCAGCUCGGAUUGAGGUCUGCAACUCGACCUCAUGAAGUAGGAGUCGCUAGUAAUCGCAGAUCAGCAACGCUGCGAAGAAUACGUUCCCGGGUCUUGUACACACCGCCCGUCA
rnacentral:rRNA from 1 species